rnacentral:rRNA from 1 species
GAUGAACGCUGGCGGCGUGCCUAAUACAUGCAAGUCGAGCGAACGGACGAGAAGCUUGCUUCUCUGAUGUUAGCGGCGGACGGGUGAGUAACACGUGGAUAACCUACCUAUAAGACUGGGAUAACUUCGGGAAACCGGAUCUAAUACCGGAUGAUAUUUUGAACCGCAUGGUUCAAAAGUGAAAGACGGUCUUGCUGUCACUUAUAGAUGGAUCCGCGCUGCAUUAGCUAGUUGGUAAGGUAACGGCUUACCAAGGCAACGAUGCAUAGCCGACCUGAGAGGGUGAUCGGCCACACUGGAACUGAGGCACGGUCCAGACUCCUACGGGAGGCAGCAGUAGGGAAUCUUCCGCAAAGGGCGAAAGCCUGACGGAGCAACGCCGCGUGAGUGAUGAAGGUCUUCGGAUCGUAAAACUCUGUUAUUAGGGAAGAACAUAUGUGUAAGUAACUGUGCACAUCUUGACGGUACCUAAUCAGAAAGCCACGGCUAACUACGUG